ensembl:misc_RNA Metazoa_SRP Metazoan signal recognition particle RNA
GCUGGGCAUGGUGGCGCAUGCCUGUAGUCCUAGCUAUCCAGGAAGCUGAGGCAGGAGAAUCACUUGAGUCUAGGAGUUUGAGGAGGCAGUGAGCUGUGAUCGUGCCACUGCACUUCAGCCUGGGUAACAGAGUGAGACCCUGUCUCAA